rnacentral:rRNA from 1 species
AUUGAACGCUGGCGGCAGGCCUAACCCGUGCAAGUCGAGCGGAGCGGCGGACGGGUGAGCAAUGCCUAGGAAUCUGCCUGGUAGUGGGGGAUAACGUCCGGAAACGGGAGCUAAUACCGCAUACUAUCAGAUGAGCCUAGGGCGGAUUAGCUAGUUGGUGAGGUAAUGGCCUCCCAAGUCGACGAUCCGUAACUGGUCUGAGAGGAUGGUAAGUCACACGGGAACUGAUACACGGUCCAUACUCCUACGGGAGGCAGCAGUGGGGAAUAUUGGACGAUGGGAGAAAGCCGGAUCUAGAGAGGCCGCGUGGAUGAGGAAGUUCUUAGGAUUGUAAAGCUCUUUAAGUUGAGAGGCGUUACCAACAGAAUAAGCACCGGCUAACUUCGUGCCAGCAGCCGCGGUAAUAC